UAUGACCAUAUCACAUUGAAACACCACUUCCUGUAUGAUCACUGAAGUUAAGAAACAUUGAGCCUAGUCAGUACCUAGAUGGGUGACUGCAUGAGAAUACUGAG